CAGGCAAUGUGGGGUCUAAGAAAUGAAAUGUGAUAGAAAAUAAAGUUAGAAAAGGCUAAACAUCAUACCUCAUACUUUUCAAUUUCCAUUUAUUCCACUUCUCCCAGUUUAAUCCAACUAUUCAAACCAUACCAAAUUUCGAAAAUCCCUUGUAUUCGUUCACCUUCAAAAGGGGAAAAAUGGUUUUCCAAAGUGAAGGAGCUGAAACUGAAAGUAGAUCCACUAAACAACAAAGCGAGCUAAGGGUUAACGAAGAUAGCAAUAUUGAAGCAAUAGAAGAAGAGUGGUUGAACCUGAGACUCGGUGGGAACUCAAUACCAGCACCUGGAGACUGCGAAUCGGCCUCAGACCCUCAGUUAAGACCAUCAGUUCCUUCCAAGGUUUUCUCCUGCAACUUUUGCAGGAGAAAGUUUUAUAGUUCACAAGCCUUGGGUGGCCACC
rnacentral:lncRNA from 1 species